AGCGGAGGAAAAGAAACCAACAGGGAUUGCCCUAGUAACGGCGAGUGAAGCGGCAACAGCUCAAAUUUGAAAUCUGGCUCUUUCAGAGUCCGAGUUGUAAUUUGCAGAGGGCGCUUUGGCUUUGGCAGCGGUCCAAGUUCCUUGGAACAGGACGUCACAGAGGGUGAGAAUCCCGUACGUGGUCGCUAGCUAUUGCCGUGUAAAGCCCCUUCGACGAGUCGAGUUGUUUGGGAAUGCAGCUCUAAAUGGGAGGUAAAUUUCUUCUAAAGCUAAAUAUUGGCCAGAGACCGAUAGCGCACAAGUAGAGUGAUCGAAAGAUGAAAAGCACUUUGGAAAGAGAGUCAAACAGCACGUGAAAUUGUUGAAAGGGAAGCGCUUGCAGCCAGACUUGCUUGCAGUUGCUCAUCCGGGCUUUUGCCCGGUGCACUCUUCUGCAGGCAGGCCAGCAUCAGUUUGGGCGGUGGGAUAAAGGUCUCUGACACGUUCCUUCCUUCGGGUUGGCCAUAUAGGGGAGACGACAUACCACCAGCCUGGACUGAGGUCCGCGCAUCUGCUAGGAUGCUGGCGUAAUGGCUGUAAGCGGCCCGUCUUGAA
rnacentral:rRNA from 1 species